UUCCAGGUGGCUCAGACGGUAAAGCGUCUGCCUCCAAUGUGGAAGACCCAGGUUCGAUCCCUGGGUCGGGAA
rnacentral:tRNA from 1 species